UCUGGUUGAUCCUGCCAUGUANUGAAUAUGCUUGUCUCAAAGAUUAAGCCAUGCAGGUGUAAGUACGAACUGAACGUAAAGUGAAACUGCGAACGGCUCAUUAAAUCAGUCUUGGUUUAUUUGGUCCUUGCGAGAGCUAACGUGGAUAACUGUGGCAAUUCCAGAGCUAAUACAUGCGACCGAGCGCCGACUCCGGGAGGCGCGCUUUUAUUGGUUCGAACCCGACCGGGCCUUCGCGGGCCCGUCUCUUUCGAUGACUCUGGAUAACCACGCGGAUCGCACGCCUUCGCGGCGGCGACCUACCAUUCAAGUGUCUGACCUAUCAACUUUCGAAGGUAGGCUACGGGCUUACCUUUGUGAUAACGGGUGACGGGGAAUCAGGGUUCGAUUCCGGAGAGGGAGCCUGAGAAACGGCUACCACAUCCAAGGAAGGCAGCAGGCGCGCAAAUUACCCAUUCCCGACACGGGGAGGUAGUGACGAAAAAUACCGAUGCGGGACUCUAACGAGGCCCCGCAAUCGGAAUGAGUACAUUCUAAAACUCUUGUCGAGUAUCCAUCGGAGGGCAAGUCUGGUGCCAGCAGCCGCGGUAAUUCCAGCUCCGAAAGUGUAUGCUAAAGUUGUUGCGGUUGAAAAGCUCGUAGUUGGAUGAAGAGCGCGCGGCGCCGGUCCGUCCGUCGAAGGGCGUGCACCGGCGUCGAGAGUUCCGCCUGUCGGCGCUUCCCGGGUGUUCUUGAUCGGGUGCACGGGGUGACCGACGAGUUUACUUUGAAAAAAUUAGAGUGUUCAAAGCAGGUUUUUCGCCUGCAUAGUGUUGCAUGGAAUAAUGGAAUAAGACCUCGGUCUCGUUUCGUUGGCGUUCGCGAGUGCGAGGUAAUGAUUGAGAGGGACAGCCGGGGGCGUCCGUACUCUGCCGUUAGAGGUGAAAUUCUUGGAUCGGCGGAAGACGAACUACUGCGAAAGCGUUCGCCAAGAAUGUUUUCUUUAAUCAAGAGCGAAAGUCAGAGGUUCGAAGACGAUCAGAUACCGUCCUAGUUCUGACUAUAAACGAUGCCAACUGGCGAUCGGCGGGCGUUACGAUGACGACCUCGCCGGCAGCUUCCGGGAAACCAAAGUCUUUGGGUUCCGGGGGAAGUAUGGUUGCAAAGCUGAAACUUAAAGGAAUUGACGGAAGGGCACCACCAGGAGUGGAGCCUGCGGCUUAAUUUGACUCAACACGGGGAAACUCACCCGGCCCGGACACGGGAAGGAUUGACAGAUUGACAGCUCUUUCUUGAUUCUGUGGGUGGUGGUGCAUGGCCGUUCUUAGUUGGUGGAGCGAUUUGUCUGGUUAAUUCCGAUAACGAACGAGACUCUGGCAUGCUAAAUAGUUACGCGACCCUCGGCGGUCGGCGUGAAACUUCUUAGAGGGACUAGUGGCGUUUUUAGCCACGCGAGAUCGAGCAAUAACAGGUCUGUGAUGCCCUUAGAUGUUCGGGGCCGCACGCGCGCUACAUUGGGCGGAUCAGCGAGUCCGCCCGGGCCGAAGGGUCCGGGUAACCCGUUGAACCCCGUCCGUGAUUGGGAUAGGGCCUUGCAAUUGUUGCCCUCGAACGAGGAAUUCCCAGUAAGCGCGAGUCAUCAGCUCGCGUUGAUUACGUCCCUGCCCUUUGUACACACCGCCCGUCGCUACUACCGAUUGAAAGGUUUAGUGAGAUCCUCGGAUCUGCCCCGUCGCGGUUGGAGACGGCCGCGGCGGUACGCAGUGAAGGCGACCGAACUUGAUCGUUUAGAGGAAGUAAAAGUCGUAACAAGGUUUCCGUAGGUGAACCUGCGGAAG
rnacentral:rRNA from 1 species